rnacentral:ncRNA from 1 species
AGGAUAGAGGUCGCGUGUUUCAAGAGUAGACAGCCGGAUGCGCCAGACGCAGAAGAAAGCUGCCGGAAGGGAAACGCGCCGAAAGAAUCCGCCCUCUGGAGGCCGAUUCUUGGGCAUAAGGUGAAGAACCGUAUGACUGUCAUCGCAGGAUGGAGAGCUAUCUGA